rnacentral:sRNA from 1 species
CUCAGUAUAGCAACAAAGUAUUCUAUUGAUCUAUAGACAUUAUAUAGCUGUGCAAGCUUCCCACAUAUUGUUCUGCCAAUGUGCCUCACUCCUCUCCUGGGGAGUCCACCUUUAGAGGUGAGAGGGAGAUGCACUCUUCAUGGACCCUUGGCUUCU